UACGUAGGGGGCAAGCGUUGUCCGGAUUUAUUGGGCGUAAAGAGCGUGUAGGCGGCCAGGUAGGUCUGCUGUGAAAACUCGAGGCUCAACCAUCGACCUGCAUUCGAUACCUGGGCGGCUAGAUGUCUGGUAGGGGGAGUCGUGGAAUUCCUGGUGUAGGCGGUGGAAUGCGCAGAGUAUCGGGAAGAACGACCCGUGGCGAAGGCGGCUGAGCUCUCGGGAUCCGGUACGUGGACGCUGAGACGCGAAAGCGUGGGGAGCGAACGAGGA
rnacentral:rRNA from 1 species